AACUUAGCUGUAUAAAUUUCCUCGAAACAGUUUUAUUCGGGCACUUAAGUGAACAGCUCUGCAGUUGGGGUCCUGCGAGAAACAGGAAGAUAAGAUGACGGUUCAUAACUUGUACAUAUUUGACCGCAAUGGAAACUGUUUGUAUUACAACGAGUGGAACCGCAAGAAGCAGGCGGGCAUCUCCAAGGAGGAG